CCUACGGGGGGCUGCAGUGGGGAAUAUUGGACAAUGGGGGCAACCCUGAUCCAGCCAUGCCGCGUGUGUGAAGAAGGCCCUCGGGUUGUAAAGCACUUUCAGUGAGGAAGAACGCCUGGUGGUUAAUACCCAUCAGGAAAGACAUCACUCACAGAAGAAGCACCGGCUAACUCCGUGCCAGCAGCCGCGGUAAUACGGAGGGUGCGAGCGUUAAUCGGAAUUACUGGGCGUAAAGCGCGCGUAGGUGGCUUGAUAAGCCGGUUGUGAAAGCCCCGGGCUCAACCUGGGAACGGCAUCCGGAACUGGCAAGCUAGAGUGCAGGAGAGGAAGGUAGAAUUCCCGGUGUAGCGGUGAAAUGCGUAGAGAUCGGGAGGAAUACCAGUGGCGAAGGCGGCCUUCUGGACUGACACUGACGCUGAGGUGCGAAAGCGUGGGUAGCAAACAGGAUUAGAUACCCCAGUAGUC
rnacentral:rRNA from 1 species